UACGAAGGGGGCUAGCGUUGUUCGGAAUUACUGGGCGUAAAGCGCGCGUAGGCGGCUAUUCAAGUCAGAGGUGAAAUCCCUGGGCUCAACCCAGGAAUUGCCUUUGAAACUGUAUAGCUAGAGUGUCGGAGAGGAUAGCGGAAUUGCUAAUGUAGAGGUGAAAUUCGUAGAUAUUAGCAGGAACACCGGUGGCGAAGGCGGCUAUCUGGACGACAACUGACGCUGAGGCGCGAAAGCACGGGGAUCAAACAGG
rnacentral:rRNA from 1 species